AUAGAGUCCUGGGUGCACACUGAUCUGGAUAGAAAUAACAAGAAUUAAUUCUGUUGUAAAAUAUUUAUUUAUAGACAUACUAAGACUGUGUCACAUAUAAUAGGUUUAAUACAAAUAUAAGAACAGAGAGUUAACAUAUUGGAAAUAUUUCUAUACAACAGUGCCGGAACACAAAAUAAAUUAACCUAGCAGGGUAUUUCGUAGUGCAAUACAGUUCUUGGCAUUAGCCUACAUUUCAUAGAAAAGUGUUUAAACGCACGUGAUAUGUAAAUUUGCAUUCAUUUCACGUUCAAUAGUGAGGUUAGCACUUUAUAUAUUAUAAUAAUAAUACAAUAUUUAACAAUGUAACUUCUGACAUCUACCUUGAUCUACAGGGAAUUUCUAAUUGCUACUUAGUAACCUUGAGGCAGUAGGGUUAUGUAAACUAUGAAUGAGAAACAGAGUGUAGUGUAAACUUCUUAGAAACUAUUGAGCAGCAAGGGUUCCUAUAGUUGUAAGUUAAUUUGGAAAUCAUUUUCUAUUGGAAGAUGAAGGCAUAGGUCAAUGCAUUGUUACAAGAAGCCUGAAAAUAGCAGAAAUAUGCAGAAAAAACCCAUAGAAUGUUUUAAAAUCAGGAGUAAGCAACAUUCAUCAUUCCAGAUGUUGUGGACUACAUCUCCCAUAUUGCUCGUACAUCCAUAAUGCUGGCAAAGCAUCAGGGGAGAUGUUGUCCACAACAUCUGGAGUGCCGAAGGUUGCCUACUGUUGCGUCUAUCUGAUGAAUUCUUGCACCACUGAUGCCUGGAGUGUCUGUUAAUGUAAAGCUUCAAAAUUCCUUAGAGAACUGUGGGGAGAUGUAUCAAACUGUCACCAUGGAAACCAGUGAAGUCACCAGGCACAUUGCAUUGGUGACUCCUCCAUUUUUAUAUUUGUUCAAAACUUUGUGCAAAAAUAUUUCCUCUUUCUAUUUGAAUAUGAAUAUUCUUCUUAAAUAUCCAUUUGAUGUGCUAUGGAAUCCAGUAACCAAUACCAUACCUUGGACAAGAGACACAAACCAUGUUAAAUGAAGAUGUAGAUAAACUAAUAUAAUAUAGUUGUUUCAAUGAGAUAUUAAAUAUACAAAAUGUUCUUGCGAUCAUGUGACUUGUUCAUGUUCAGUACCUAUUGACGGCAGCUGUUUGUUUUCAAUGGCAGUAUAUCCGAUCUAAUGUUCACAAAACAAAAGUAUACUAUAUUCAUUAUUUCAUCAGCAAUAUAGCCACCAACAGUCACACUCCAAGAACCAGUAAAUUUAUGAAUAACCUUCAUUUAAACAACUCUUUUCCACAUCCUUAAUAACUAGUCUUUACUGGCCUGUAUAACAUGGUUCUGUGAGAAUGGACACAAUUCUCAAUUAAAUGUCAGGGCUGGAAUACAAUUCUAUGUGAAAUAUUUCCUGUUCACAUGGGACCAUUUCAAAGCAUUGAUGUCAGUCAUUUUUAGAUCUUACUGUGACUAAAUAAAAUGCCAGAGACCGACACAAUACAACUCUGAGAUACAGGCUCUUUAGUAUUCCUGCUCAGCACAUGUAGAGAAUUAUGGGAUAUGUAGUUCAUUAACAGCUGAAGAAAGACAAAUAGCUUAUUUCUGAUAUCAACAGACUCACAAAAAUAACCAUACUAUAUGUGUUAAUGUGACAUUAUAAAAAAACUCAAAUAAAGAAAUCUAAAUCCCCCUCAGACCACCAGGAUAUUUACUUGUCUUGGAAACUCAAAGAGUAAGGAGGUUUGAUCCAUUAAUAUUUGUUUAGUUUACUUUUUUGUUAACGUUUAUACACUUAUCAUUUUUAAACAUUGACAGGGUAUUUCAAUAAAGUUUGGAAAUCACAAUUUUGUGUCAAAACAGUAGAACUGGGGGGGGGGGAAGCUAUGAUUUUAGUAUGGCUAUUUGGCGUACAAUUUUACAUUCACUUUGAAUUCUUGACAAUUUUACAUUUUAGUGAAUAACCUUGUCAGUAUUUGGAAUCAGAUUGCUAGAUUGCUAUCGAUUUGGUUAUAUAGACCAGUGCUCCUUAACCCUCUCCUCAAGGCACAUCUAACAGUCCAGGAUUUAUGGUUUACCAGCAUGUGUCUAAGGUGUUUAGAAAAAGAAGAAAAAAACACCUUAGAGUCUAAGGUGUUUUUAGUUUUUUUAAAAACACCUUAGACCAGUGAUGGCUAACCUUGACACCAUAAAUUGUUUAUGGACUACAUUUCCUAUGAUGCUCAGCUAGCUUUUAGAGUCUAAAAGCUAGCUGAACAUCAUGGGAAGUGUAGUCCAGAAACAAUUUAUGGUGUCAAGGUUAGCCAUCAUUGACUUAGACACACGCUGGUAAUCCCUAAAUCCUGGACUGUUAGAUGUGCCCUGAGGAGAGGGUUGAGGAAAACUGAUUUAGACCACUGGACCCUGAAGUCUGCUUAUGUAAUCAUCAAUAGUAAUGCGCUUAUGUCCUUGUGGACAAUCUUUCCCAAUGUUAGUAUGCCCAGUACUGUUUUAUAACUUAUUUAUAACAGAUCUUAAUGCAUACAGCCCUUGGAUUAUUAGGUUUUUACCCAAAUUGCCACAUAUAGUGAAUUUUGUUUUUCCUAGUACAUUGUUUUGUUUUGUAUUAUUAUGUAUUCUGCUAGACUAUAUUACUAUGUUUUUUUUUUUCAUGCAAUAAACUAAAACAAUAAAACAUUUAUUUACUUACAUUCUGCCUCUGAAAUAAAUAUUUGCAAUAGACAGCACUUCAUCUGAAAUAUAGUAUUACAGUUUGUAAAUGGUUCCAUUACAGCCAUGUGUUAAAUGAUCUGCAGAGACACACAACUUCUCAGGUCAUUGUAAUAGUAUCUGACAUAUUUCAAUGUUAUUUUUGUGUUGCAAAAGCUAAGAGAUAUAUAUUUAUAAAUAUCAGUAUGUAUAAUAGAUUCAACCUAAUCUAAUACAUUAUUAUAUUCAAAGUGGAAAAUGUUUCACCUAGUAUUUGCUACAUAACGAUUCAUGCUGCCUAUCUACAGUGCUACGAAUAACAUGACCACUGUGUGCUUAGAGCAGGGGUGCCCAAAAUGUAAAUCCCCAGAUGUAGAACUACAACUCCCAUGAUGCUUUGCGUGCCUUUAGAAUGACAAAACAUUAUGGAAACUAAAGUCGUAAAACAUUUGGGGAUCUACCUUCUGGUCAGCCCUGGCGUAAAAGAUUGAAGAUAAUAUAAUCCAUAAUUGUCACUAUAACUAACAUAAAUCUUACUUUAUCAAGUAAUUUGUUUCAAGUAAACACAUGAAUCAGGAUUCUAUUUGGUUAAUUGCUUUCGGCUAUGCUAUCACAUUACAAUAUAAAAUCUAAUUACAAAGUGCCAACAUACUUUGCAGUGCUGUAUGCUAUACUAAACCUAUUAAAUUAAUAGCAAUACCAAAUUUAGUAAGAGAGCAGUUGUUAUGUAUUUGCCCAAAUGCAAAUUAAAAAAAACAAGCAAUAUGCUACUCGUUUUAAAUUCAUUGGCAUUAAUUUUUUUUUGCUUAAAAAAUGUAAAAUGCCAAUAAACUUACCAUUAUUACAGUGGUGGUGCUGGGACUGACUCCUCACUACAACUGAAUCCUCCUACCAGUAACUUUUUUAAUCUGAUGCUUCUCGUUUAGAAGCAUUGAUGACACUUGGUGCAUGGCAGUGACGGUUACUGCAAUCACGCUUUCAGAUCUCAAUGAGAACUAUUGAACCUAAUGCUUCUCAUACCAAGGCACUUUACAUGCUGGCAAUGAACAACAAAAUAAUUUCAAAUUUAAAUAUUCUCCUAACUAGAGCCCCUAGUGACUGUCUGGCUGACACCUAUUAGAAGGAAAAAAAAAAGAACAAAGAAGCUGCAACACCAAAAUAAGUUGAAAGAGAUAUGUUCCACCUGUGUGGAACCGGCAACAUUUCGACCCAACCUCAGGGUCUUUGUCAAGCCUAUCAGUUGGCAUUGUCACUGAAAGAUGUAAAUAGGCCAUUUCUCAGAAACCAGAGGGUUUUCAUUAGCAGGGCUGCACAGGCAGCAACUAGGAGGACACGUAGGUGUGAAACCUGUGAGUGCCAAUUAUGCCAACAAAUAGUCAGUAAAAAUUCACAAGAUAAAUUGAUGAUGUCUUGUAUUUUGCAUAUAUAUAUAUAUAUAUAUAUCUUAUUUUGAUUUAUUAAUGCCUUUUUUUUAGUUAAAAAAAAAUGCUGGUCGGAAAUAAUUAAACAUAAAUAAAAGGAUUAAGAAAAAUGCCUUUUCACUGCAUUAUAAUAUAUUUUCCAUGAUCUCAUUUGCACAAUGGGUUUUGUGACAUCCUAAUAAACUGUGUCCAGGGUCACCAUGCCAUAUACAUUCUGGACUAAAAAUAAAUAGCUUAAAAGUGGAAAAAUCACCAAAAACAAAACAAUGGGAAGAUUACACAUUAAAAUCCUACGCACUCAAAACAUGUCACUUGCAAAGAGAAAUAAAGAUGUCUAGUCUUAUUACUCAUCAUCAUGAUGAUCUACAGGUAAAAUCCUCUUCAAAUCAAUAGUGUGAGUUCUGUAGUGUUUUUAUUCUAACAUUCAGUGGUAUUUGGGGGUAAUACAUGUGCUAUAAAACUAGGAUUUCAAUAAUUAACAUAUAAUCAAACAGGUAGCAAUAUAUAUAUAUAUAUAUACACACACACACACACACACACACACACACACACACACACACACACACACACACACACACAUAUAUAUAUAUACACUUGGAUUCAAAUAUUGUUGAAUGGGUAAGGCAGUGGCUGAGUGACAGGCAACAGAGGGUUGUAGUUAAUGGAAUAUAUUCGAAGCGUGGACUUGUCACCAGUGGGGUACCUCAGGGAUCUGUACUUGGACCCAUUCUCUUUAAUAUUUUUAUUAGUGAUAUUGCAGAAGGUCUUGAUGGUAAGGUAUGUCUUUUUGCUGAUGAUACUAAGAUAUGUAACAGGGUUGAUGUUCCAGGAGGGAUAAGCCAAAUGACAAAUGAUUUAGGUAAACUAGAAAAAUGGCCAGAAUUGUGGCAACUGACAUUUAAUGUGGAUAAGUGCAAGAUAAUGCAUCUUGGAUGUAAAAACCCAAGGGCAGAGUACAGAAUAUUUGAUAGAGUCCUAACCUCAACAUAUAAGGAAAGGGAUUUAGGGGUGAUUAUUUUGAUGACUUAAAGGUGACAAUAAAAGAGCAGCAGGAAAUGCUAGCAGAAUGCUAGGUUGUAUAGGGAGAGGUAUUAGCAGUAGAAAGUGGGAAGUGCUCAUGCCAUUGUACAGAACACUGGUGAGACCUCACUUGGAGUAUUGUACACAGUACUGGAGACCGUAUCUUCAGAAGGAUAUUGAUACCUUAGAGAGGGUUCAGAGAAGGGCUACUAACUGGUUCAUGGAUUGCGGGAUAAAACUUACCACGAAAGGUUAAAGGAUCUUAACAUGUAUAGCUUGGAGGAAAGACGAGACAGGGGGGAUAUGAUAGAAACAUUUAAAUAUAUAAAGGGAAUCAACACAGUAAAGGAGGAGACUAUAUUUAAA
rnacentral:lncRNA from 1 species